rnacentral:rRNA from 1 species
AUGGCUUUAGUGGCGGACUGGUGAGUAACGCGUGAGCAACCUGCCUACUAGAGGGGAAUAACAGUGAGAAAUCAUUGCUAAUACCGCAUAUGCCAUGAACAUCACAUGAUGAAAGUGGGAAAAGAGUAAUCUGCUAGUAGAUGGGCUCGCGUCUGAUUAGAUAGUUGGUGGGGUAACGGCCUACCAAGUCGACGAUCAGUAGCCGGACUGAGAGGUUGAACGGCCACAUUGGGACUGAGAUACGGCCCAGACUCCUACGGGAGGCAGCAGUCGGGAAUAUUGCGCAAUGGAGGAAACUCUGACGCAGUGACGCCGCGUAUAGGAAGAAGGUUUUCGGAUUGUAAACUAUUGUCGUUAGGGAAGAUACAAGACAGUACCUAAGGAGGAAGCUCCGGCUAACUACGUGCCAGCAGCCGCGGUAAUACGUAGGGAGCAAGCGUUAUCCGGAUUUAUUGGGUGUAAAGGGUGCGUAGACGGGAAAGCAAGUUAGUUGUGAAAUCCCUCGGCUUAACUGAGGAACUGCAACUAAAACUGUUUUUCUUGAGUGUUGGAGAGGAAAGUGGAAUUCCUAGUGUAGCGGUGAAAUGC